UGGUUUGGAAGACUGAAGUGGAAACCUUGGGAAGGUGGGCCUCAGAGUAUGUCAGCUGGGGUCAGACGGGAACAGGAGUCUGGCUCAACACACAUUUAUUGCACUCCUGCUUCAUGCCAAGAAAUGCACCAAAAUCUGGGACUGUGUAACACAGCAAAGGAAAAGACUCAUCUCCAGGAAGCCCCCUUGUCUAGGAAGAGAAAUUGAAUAUCAGCAUAAGGUGGUGAAAAGCUAUGAAGGAGAUGAGUGCCACGAGUCCAUGGAGGAAGGAUUCUAGCCUGGACAGAGUCUCCAUGAAUUGCAAGGGAAAACAAGUGGUACACUGGCAUUUCUAUUUGAUAACCUGUUCUCUUUGGAAUUCCGGUUAGAAAUCAAAGGCUUACUUGAGUUUUAAUGCUUGCAGGACUUCAAAUGCUUUUCUAUCUUCCUAAUAAUAUAUUAACAUUUUCUGAAGACAACAUAUAUCUGGAAAACAACAUUAUUUACUCAAAUAAUUUUUUUUGAAAAAUGGACCAAAAAAAAAAAAAA
rnacentral:lncRNA from 1 species